GGGGAAUAUUGGACAAUGGGCGAAAGCCUGAUCCAGCCAUGCCGCGUGUGUGAAGAAGGUCUUCGGAUUGUAAAGCACUUUAAGUUGGGAGGAAGGGCAGUAAGUUAAUACCUUGCUGUUUUGACGUUACCAACAGAAUAAGCACCGGCUAACUUCGUGCCAGCAGCCGCGGUAAUACGAAGGGUGCAAGCGUUAAUCGGAAUUACUGGGCGUAAAGCGCGCGUAGGUGGUUCAGCAAGUUGGAGGUGAAAUCCCCGGGCUCAACCUGGGAACUGCCUCCAAAACUACUGAGCUAGAGUACGGUAGAGGGUAGUGGAAUUUCCUGUGUAGCGGUGAAAUGCGUAGAUAUAGGAAGGAACACCAGUGGCGAAGGCGACUACCUGGACUGAUACUGACACUGAGGUGCGAAAGCGUGGGGAGCAAAC
rnacentral:rRNA from 1 species